GCAGGUCCAGACAGACCUAGAGAGAGGAUUUGGUCACGCAGGAGUGACAAACUGGAGCACACUGGGAUCUGUGGUCCUCAGAGUGAAGUCUUGGGCUUUAGCAUAAACCUGAGCUGACCCAGCAACGGUUGUUGCUACAUCCCAUUGGUCCAGCUGCAACUUGCGGUGAGCAGAUAUUGGGUAUCAGCUGUUGUGUUGACAGCUGCUAGUCAGUCACCACCUGUCUUUCUGCUGGAUUGGCUUCUAGAGUGGCUGUGUGGCAAGUUCUUGGACUGUGUGUGUUUGGAGGCAGGUUUCACAAGGAAGAUUUUUUCUUUUCCUUUAGCUAUUUUUCAACUCCACCGGAUUAUAAAAAACACUGGAGCAGCAGCACUUAGGGUUUCAACACAUACCCGAGGGCUCAAAGCGAGGAAACCCUUCCAGAUAGAUCUGCAAGGGCGUAACCAAAACUCAGGGGAUAGCCGACAAGUGAGAACACGUCCUGUCAGAGAAAAGCAAGCUACCAGACCCUCACAUUGUCCCUCUGGAUGUCCACAGCGUGUUGAAGUUUCUAUCACAUAUCCACUAGCUCUGCUCCAACACGGGGAAUGACUCCGGGAGUCCUGUCCUCCCUGUUAUUUUCAUUUGGGUGAUUGCUGAGCAUGUAGAUUAAUCACAUGAAGCACUGAACACUUCUCCUUCACCCCUUCUUCUUAUUCCCUGUGUGUUAAUCUGCCACUUUUACAUGCCAUUAAAUUUUGUCUUCUCUCUGUUAUAGUUCUUUUGUUUUAGUCUCCCUAUACUCUCCUUUUUUCUCUUCUCUUUUACCUCACCGCACAUUCAACCACAGCAGACUGCUGCCCCUCCUUGUGCCUGCUUCUUUUGGAGAUUUCUUCUUGUUAAAAGGGAGUUUUUUUUCCACACCACUGCAAAUGCUUCUCAUAGGUUUGAUAAAGUGUCUGAAGACGUUGUGAAUUGUCUCUAUAUAAAAAAAUUGUAUGUAAUCUGUGAUCAACACUU